ensembl:lincRNA
CACUGCUAGUAUUGGACAUGGAUAGGACAAUGAUGUCAGCGGUAACAAUGCAGCAGGUGAGGAGCAGAGCACCACAUGGUGCAUUUACACUUUCCUUCUUCAUUGCUUCCCCAGUGGAGCGUAUGAAAGCUGAAGCUGCGCAGGCUACAGCAAAAAUACAGGAGGAAAUGCAACAGAAGAUUGAACAGUUGCUGCAAGAGAAAGAGAAGAGCCAUGAGGAGCACAGCAAACAGUUGACUGAGAUGAUGGGGAAGGCACAGGACCAGAAUAAGAAUAUGCAACAGUUGGUUGAACAGUUGGUGCAACAGAAAGGAAAGAGUGAUGAGGACCACAGGAAAAAGUUGACUGAGAAGGUAGAUGAAGCACAGGCCAAGUUGAGAGAGUUGCAGAAGGAGAAAGAACAUUUGCAGAACCAGAUGAAGUGUCUAGAGGAAAAAAUCAAACAUCUGCCUGAGGAGAAAAAGAAGGAAAAUCAUGAAUAUGACCAACUUCGCGAGCAAUAUGAAGACCUAAAGAAGAAAAUAAUACAAAUUGAUGAAGAAUUAAGAAAUAAGCAGGGAAAGUCGUGUGUCAUAAGCUAAAGGCCUAAAGAGUUGUGCCAUCCUGCCAUUUGAAGCAGAGCUGAAUAUGGAUUCCAUUGACAUCUUUACCACAGAGGAGAUACCAACAGCGCUACUCAGAAAGAAGUACCUUUUUAAGAUGAUCUCAAGGAUACACAUGGACACUUAUCACAUUCUGAACCAUUGGCACGAAACUAGGAACCAAGUUAUGCAGGACUGUGAUGGGUCAGAAAUAGCCAGCCUCAUUCCUUACAAUGUAAAAUUAUCUAUUAUAUCAAAAGUGUUCAACCUUUCUGCAAUGGCAUGAUUUGUGGACACUGGUGAUGGGUAACCCAAUCAACACAAUCUAUUGUAAAUCAAGACACCUGCAUCGAAAUCUAGAGUACCCAUAUAUAAUAUCUACACAAAAAUGGAAGAAAACAUUAGCACAGCAAGAAGCUGAAUCACAGGUCCAUGGACCAAAGAAGGAAAUGUUUCAGUUCAUGUAGAUUGACACUGUAAUGGGACAUUUCUAAGUUUUAACUGUUGACAGUGAUUAUGUACUAACAUGAUAAAAUCAGCAUAAUGUAGAAUACUAACGUUAAAGAUGGACUUUAAAUGAUGGUGUGUAAUCUCUUGGUAUCAAAGCUGUCUUAAUGAUUCAUCUGUAAACAUUAACUUACACUGCUCUUUUACUAUGAUUAGCAGCUGUGUUUGAAAUCCUGUUGAUUUUUACCAAAGAAGAAUAAAGAUUAUUUUCCUAUAUUUUUAACCAGCUCUUAGUACUAAGGAAUAUAUCUAAAAAAAUCACAACUGCCAGAAAUGUAAAGUAAGUGGCUAACAGAUUUUAAAGGGAUUUAGAAUUUUGGGGGGUAUGGUUCAGUGAGUAAAAUGUUUGCUGUGCAAUCAUGAGGAUGUAAAUUCAGAUCUCAUAACCUACAGAGCAAACCAGACAUUGUGGUAGACAAAUGUAAGUUGGGGCAAGGGUACACAUGGUCACUGGGGUCUUCUAGUCAGUCAGCACAGUCGACAGAUGGGCUCUGGGUUCACUGAUAGGAAUUAUUUAAAAAAUAUGGAAAGCAAUUGAUAUCAGGGUCAUCCUGUUUCAUGGAAGUGGAUAAGACCAGACAGGGUCUUACUCAUUUUAAGCGAAUUAAAC